CAGCAGCCGCGGUAAUACGGAGGGUGCAAGCGUUAUCCGGAUUCACUGGGUUUAAAGGGUGCGUAGGCGGAUUCUUAAGUCCGUGGUGAAAUCUCCAAGCUUAGCUUGGAAGCUGCCAUGGAUACUAUUAGUCUUGAAUGUUGUGGAGGUUAGCGGAAUAUGUCAUGUAGCGGUGAAAUGCAUAGAUAUGACAUAGAGCACCAAUUGCGAAGGCAGCUGGCUACACAAAUAUUGACGCUGAGGCACGAAAGCGUGGGGAUCAAACAGGAUUAGAUACCCCAGUAGUCCCUGUCUCUUAUAC
rnacentral:rRNA from 1 species